rnacentral:rRNA from 1 species
UACGUAGGGACCAAGCGUUGUUCGGAUUUACUGGGCGUAAAGGGCGCGUAGGCGGUAUGACAAGUCACUUGUGAAAUCUCCGGGCUUAACUCGGAAAGGUCAACUGAUACUGUGCGACUAGAGUGCAGAAGGGGCAACUGGAAUUCUCGGUGUAGCGGUGAAAUGCGUAGAUAUCGAGAGGAACACCUGCGGCGAAGGCGGGUUGCUGGGCUGACACUGACGCUGAUGCGCGAAAGCCAGGGGAGCGAACGGG